rnacentral:lncRNA from 1 species
AUAAAUUAUCCUUACUCAUUUCUCCCCCUAAUACCUUUAAACCUUGUGAGACUCCUACUUAAUUCCGUAAGAGCAAAAAAGUGUUAUAUUUGCUUCUACUCUUUCAAGGAGGAGAUCGUGGAGGUGGUGGUGGAUACCAAGGAGGAGAUCGUGGAGGUAGCGGUGGAUACCAGGGAGGAGAUCGUGGAGGUCGCGGCGGCGGUCGUGGUGGAGGAAGUGGUAAGGAAGGUGAUUGGCGUUGCCCUAACCCAAGGUAAUAUUCUCACAUCCUUCUCGUGGAUAUCCAGGUCAUGAUAAAUUAUCCUUACUCAUUUCUCCCCCUAAUACCUUUAAACCUUGUGAGACUCCUACUUAAUUCCGUAAGAGCAAAAAAGUGUUAUAUUUGCUUCUACUCUUGAACCUAAAGCCAAUCGAUAGCGAGGCAGCGUUUGUUUGUGCAAUCUCAUUAAGCUGAAACAGAAGUUAAUUUUUGGAAAAUCAUGUUAUCUUAUCACUAGAAAUAUAUGAUUUCCUAUUUCAUAACUUGUAUGAAAUCCUGCUACUGAAUUGUCCAGCCAUUUUGCUCAAGAUAACCAGUGUUUCCGUGUGCAGGUUCACUAAGAAAUUUAUGUUUAGUCUUACUUUUUAGUUGGGUUAACCUUACACCUUUGUAUAACCCUGAACAAU